rnacentral:rRNA from 1 species
UAACACGUAAACAACCUGCCUUCAGGAUGGGGACAACAGACGGAAACGACUGCUAAUACCGAAUAAGUUCCAAGAGCCGCAUGGCCCAUGGAAGAAAAGGUGGCCUCUACCUGUAAGCUAUCGCCUGAAGAGGGGUUUGCGUCUGAUUAGCUGGUUGGAGGGGUAACGGCCCACCAAGGCGACGAUCAGUAGCCGGUCUGAGAGGAUGAACGGCCACACUGGAACUGAGACACGGCCAGACUCCUACGGGAGGCAGCAUG